ensembl:snoRNA
GUGCACUGCUCGUAACCUGUUUCAGAACUCCAGUCUGAUAUUGGGUUCCAUUCCAGUGCUAUACGAAAGCUCAGACAGGCAUGAGACUGUGGUUUCUGUGCACAACUCUCUGUUCACCCUCUGGCAACACCC